CACACAGGUUCUCGAGGUAUUCAUCCAGGACAUGACUUUUGGCAUUAUAGUUGUGGGUGACCAAAUUGAGCACCAUCAAUCUGCAGCAUAUCAGCGGCUGUAACACCAUCUCAUGAAAUUGAAGAAUUAGUGAAGGGCAUAGAAAUUGACAUCUUGAUUGUUACUAAGGAAGAGCAAUGGUAAAUGCUUCCAAAAGAAACCAUUGCCGUUGCCAUCAUUUUGGAAGAGAGUCUUGACCUCACCGAUAUCUGUGACGUCCUGAAAGCAUUUGUGCUUUGGAUAGGUCUUCUUUACAUCGUUAACACUGAUUACCCAAAACACAUGAAGCACACUUCUGAUGUUCUCCAAAAACUUUUCAUGAACAUUGGUGGGAGCAGCUGUUCUUAGUGUGUUUACGGGCUACGCAACAUGCUACUCCACAAGAAAUUUAUAAUCCCUAAUCUGUUCUUUUGAUUAAAUGUGAAUUAGUGAAAGGAAUGUAAAUAUGUACUGCAAUUGUUACACAGAAAUGAAAUGUCAAUGUUUAUCUAUGUUUUUUAAAGUUAGGGUGUUUUAAUACUAAACACAGUAAUACUAAGUAGGAGGUUGUCUAUUUUGAAUUCAAAUAAAAUAGCCUUCUGCAUGUU